AUUGAACGCUGGCGGCAGGCCUAACACAUGCAAGUCGAACGAGUGGCGGACGGGUGAGUAAUGUCUGGGAAACUGCCCGAUGGAGGGGGAUAACUACUGGAAACGGUAGCUAAUACCGCAUACCAUCAGAUGUGCCCAGAUGGGAUUAGCUUGUUGGUGGGGUAAAGGCUCACCACGGCGACGAUCCCUAGCUGGUCUGCGAGGAUGACCAGCCACACUGGAACUGAGACAAGGUCCAGACUCCUACGGUAGGCAGCAGUGGGGAAUAGUGCACAAUGGGCGCAAGCCUGAUGCAGCCAUGCCGCUUGUAUGAAGAAGGCCUUCGGGUUGUAAAGUACGUUCAGCGGGGAGGCGUGACCCGCAGAAGAAGCACCGGCUAACUACGUGCCAGCAGCCGCGGUAAUAC
rnacentral:rRNA from 1 species